UACGUAGGGGCAAGCGUUGUCCGGAUUUAUUGGGCGUAAAGAGCGUGUAGGCGGCCGCACAGGUCCGUUGUGAAAACUGGAGGCUUAACCUUCAGACGUCGAUGGAAACCGUGCGGCUAGAGUCCGGAAGAGGAGAGUGGAAUUCCUGGUGUAGCGGUGAAAUGCGCAGAUAUCAGGAGGAACACCAAUUGCGAAGGCAGCUCGCUGGGACGUAACUGACGCUGAGACGCGAAAGCGUGGGGGAGCAAACAGG
rnacentral:rRNA from 1 species